rnacentral:rRNA from 1 species
GGUUGUCUGCUGGCUCGCAAGGGCAUGUGCACGCCUGUCUCAUCCACUCUCAACUUCUGUGCACUUUUCAUAGGCCGGCUUGUGGGUGCGUUCGCGCACUUGUAGGUGUCGGGCUUAUGCUUUACUACAAACGAUUCAGUUUUAGAAUGUCAUACUUUGCUAUAACGCAAUUAUAUACAACUUUCAGCAACGGAUCUCUUGGCUCUCGCAUCGAUGAAGAACGCAGCGAAAUGCGAUAAGUAAUGUGAAUUGCAGAAUUCAGUGAAUCAUCGAAUCUUUGAACGCACCUUGCGCUCCUUGGUAUUCCGAGGAGCAUGCCUGUUUGAGUCUCAUGGAAUUCUCAACCUUCAGCUUUAUUGAUGAAGGCUUGGACUUGGAGGUCGUGCCGGCUCUCGUAGUCGGCUCCUCUGAAAUGCAUUAGUGCGAACGUUACCAGCCGCUUCAGCGUGAUAAUUAUCUGCGUUGCUGUGGAGGGUAUUCUAGUGUUCACGCUUCUAACCGUCUUCGGACAAAUUUCUGAACUCUGAGCUCAAAUCAGGUAGGACUACCCGCUGAACUUAAGCAUAUCAAAAGCCGGGAGGAAGAUA